rnacentral:lncRNA from 1 species
AGAAAAGAUUAUAUUUCAUACCUAUCUUCAUUGGGCAAAAGCAUAACUCUGAAAUCCUUACUACUGAUGAACUCAUGGUCUGCAUAUGCAAAAAAAAAAUUUAAGCAAAUGAAAGCUACCAAUUUAAAGUUAAUGGAAUCUACUCUUAAAGUUAUGGCAUAUCAAGCUGUAUCCACAAAAAUAAUGAAUCGAUGAGAAAUAAAAUAAUGAAAUGAUGAGAAAUACCAUGAAGAUCUAAUGCCCACCUCAAAAUACUGCUUUUACAAAAGCAGAAUAAAAAAUGAAAUGAAAUGAAAAUGAUAAAGCUACACAUUAACCCUGGAAUAAAAGAAGCUGAAAUAAUUGAAAGGAGUGGGAUCAAGUGGAUUGAGAGGAAGCUGUGCUGUUUGCCAAUCUUUCGUUUGCCUCAGACAGGUUUCUCUAUCAGAAGAGUUGCUUCAUAUCAUCUGGGAGCAGAAAACAGCAGGCAGCUGUUCACAGAUAAGUUUAACUUGCAUCUGCAGUAUUGCAUGUUAGGGAUAAGUGCUAUGUUUAAUAAGAGCUGUGGAGGUCCUAGGUCCCUUACUCAAGGGAUCUCAGGAUUUUGAGGAAUUUUCCCAUCCAGCCUUUUAAAAUGAGACAGGCCUUAUGCCUGUGGGCUUCCAUGAUGGGCUAACUCACUUCACUCGAGGCAAGUAAUUCCUUAAAGCCUCUUGAGAUUAAUACCUUAAUAAUCAAGGAUAAUGUUGAUAAAAUAAAAAUUUGUUUAGCAUUGAUUCUUGAAAACCCUAUGAAAAGAUAGCAUAAUGUGCUGUUAACCAGAAUCAGAUAUGUUAACCUUGCUAAAAUUUAAAUGUUAUGUGUAUUGUGCAGAAAACCGUAAAAUCACUCAAAAUAAAAUACUUUAUUUAGCGAAUGUAUGCUUUUAGAAAGCUGUCUCCUUAUUUAAAUAAAAUAUUGUUUGUCUGUAGUUAGUGUUGGGCAAUCUUGGGGGGAUUCUUCUCAUCUUUCAGAGACUUUGUCUGCGAACACUCUGUAAUGGACAAGAUCAGGAAUUGAGCUGAAGAACGAAUUUAACUUAAGGCAGGAAAGACAAAUUUUAUCCUUCGUAAAAUUGAUGACCAUUUAAUAAUUCCAGGCACAUGGCCAUAGAGACCCUCUAAAUAAAUAAGGAAUAAAUACUUAUUAGGCAGGUGGGAGAUUAUGAUCAGAAGAACAGGUAACUACACCUACGCAUUUUUCAGAAAGUCAGGAGUCGAAAUUGACAGUACUGAAGUAUAAUGCGGUCCACAUUUCCAAAGUUUGCAUGUUAAAUUGAAAUGCUUACCAUCUCAUCUAGUGUUAGCCAAUGCUUUACACUUAUUAGCCUUUUAUAUAGACACUUGGUGGGGGGCAUGUGGGUUUUUUAAAGAACUUUCCUUUGCAGAGGCUUCGUUUCAUCCUUCAUGAGGCUGUUCAGGAUUUUGACUUGCAUAUAAACGCUUGGCUCUGCCUUCUGUUCUCCUAGUGGGUGUGUGAGACCUUGCAACUACACAGAAUGCAGUUGUCUUGACCUCAGGUCUGUCUGUUCUGUUGGCAAGUAAUAAUGCAGUACUGUUCUGACCUGCUGCUAUUAGAAUGCAUUGUGAAACGACUGGAGUAUGAUUAAAAGUUAUGUUUCCCCCAAUGCUUGGAGUAGUGAUUGUUGAAGGAAAAUCCACUGAGUGAUAAAAGGCUGAGUGUUGAGGAAAUUUCUGCAGCUUUAAGCAUUCAUGUUUGUGAUUGAAGCAGUCCUUUUUGCUGUGCUUUAGGUAAAAUGCUUUUUGUUCACUUCUGGUAGGGGGGGUGGGGAGGGCACUGAAGCCUUUAGUCUUUUCCAGAUGCAACUUUAAAAUCAGUGACAAGAAAUAAGUUCCAAACGAACAACAGACUUCAAGAAGUUUAACUGGCAAGUGGAAACGUUUUAACAUCAGUUCAGUGGUCUUAGUGCAUUGUGUGUGCAGGUUUCUCUCUUCCCUCCCUUGGUCUCAAUUCUUAUACACAGGAACAUUCAGAACAACAGAUGAAGGGCCAGAGAAGCCAGACCCAGU